AGUAGUUGACUCCGUGGCUCGAGACGACGCUGGCGGCGUGCUUAACACAUGCAAGUCGAACGGGCACUUCGGUGCUAGUGGCGAACGGGUGAGUAAAGCGCAGGUAAUCUGCCGCAAAGUCGGGGACAACGUCCCGAAAGGGACGCUAAUACCGGAUGUUGUAGUGGAGUCGCAUGACUUUGUUACUAAAGAUUUAUCGCUUUGCGAGGAGCCUGCGUCCGAUUAGGUAGUUGGUGUAGUAAAGGUGCACCAAGCCGACGAUCGGUAGCCGGUCUGAGAGGAUGAACGGCCACAAUGGAACUGAGACACGGUCCAUACUCC
rnacentral:rRNA from 1 species